GAUCUGAAUCCACAGAUGCAACGGGAAACAGUGGUGUAAAGUCAGAGCCAGUAACUAUGUGUUUGGAAAUCCCUGCUAUGGGACCUACAAGUACCUGGAGGUGGAAUAUAUUUGUUACGUUGAAUGAAACGACCAUCAGAUCGCCUGUGCUGUGGAUGAAAUGCAUCAUAAUCAGUAACAUCCACAGACACUGUGGUCCACUGAUGUACAUACAAUUUCUCCUCAGUUUCUUUCACUUUCUCAACCAUUGUUUUUUUGUUUUUGUUUUUGUUUUUUAGAUUUUUUU